CCCCCCCCCGAGUAGUACCAGUGCCCACUUUAAACUCAAAGAAUUUGGCGGCACUCUACCUCUUUAGAGGAACCUGCCCAAUAAUCGAUGACCCACGUUUUUUACACCCCUGCUAAAAGUUUGUAUACCGCCGUCACGGGUAUACUUGAAGGUUUACCCUUAAGCAUGUUAUUGAAUAAAUCAGGUCAAGGUGCAGCCCAUGCAGGGGCCUGCGGUGGGUUACACUGGCACCGCCCGUCGGCCUUAAACUUUUAAUUUUUAACAAAGAUGGAUUUANNNGUAACU
rnacentral:rRNA from 1 species